rnacentral:rRNA from 1 species
UGAGGGAAUAUUUGGGGUCAAUGGGCGGAAGCCUGAACCAGCCAUGCCGCGUGAAGGACUAAGGCCCUAUGGGUCGUAAACUUCUUUAGACGCAGAGCAAUAAGGGUCUCGAGAGAUCCGAUGAGAGUAUGCGUAGAAUAAGCAUCGGCUAACUCCGUGCCAGCAGCCGCGGUAAUACGGAAGGUCCGGGCGUUAUCCGGAUUUAUUGGGUUUAAAGGGAGCGCAGGCGGUCUUAUAAGCGUGACGUGAAAUGCAGCGGCUCAACCGUAUGAUGUGCGUUGCGAACUGUGAGACUUGAGUGUAUUCGAUGUCAGCGGAAUUUUGUGGUGUAGCGGU